GUCCUUUUGAUUAUAAUUUAAGGUCUAAUCUGCCCACUGAAAUUUUUAAAUGGCCGCAGUAAUUUGACUGUGCUAAGGUAGCAUAAUCAUUAGUUUUUUAAUUGAAAGCUGGAAUGAAUGAUUGGAUGAAAUAAAAACUGUCUCAAUUUUAUUAGAUUAGAAUUUUAUUUUUAAGUUAAAAAGCUUAAAUGUUAUUAAAAGACGAGAAGACCCUAUAGAGUUUUAUAUAAUAUAAUAAAUUUUUAUUAUUAUUUAAAAAAUUAUAUUUUUUAUAUUAUAUUUUGUUGGGGUGACAAAAAAAUUUAAUAAACUUUUUUUUUAUUAAAACAAAUAUAAUUGAUUAAUUGAUCCAUUUUUAAUGAUUAUAAGAUUAAAUUACCUUAGGGAUAACAGCGUAAUUUUUUUUAAGAGUUCAAAUCGAAAAAAAAGAUUGCGACCUCGAUGUUGGAUUAAAGUUAAUUUUUGGUGUAGAAGCUAAAAUAUUAAGUCUGUUCGACUUUUAAAACUUUACAUGAUCUGAGUUUAAACCGGUGUAAGCCAGGUUGGUUUCUAUCUUUAAUUAAAUUUUAUAUCUUAGUACGAAAGGACCAGAUAUUUAUUUUAUAAAUUUAUUUUUUGAAUAAUAAUAAUUAUUUUGGCAGAUUAGUGCAAUAGAUUUAGAAUCUUUUUAUGUAAUUUAUAUUACAAAUAAUAUUGUUAUUAUUGGAUAAUAUUUUAAUUUUAAUUUCAAUAAUUAUUUUAGUUAUUUUAGUUUUAGUUGGGGUAGCGUUUUUAACUUUAUUAGAGCGAAAAAUUUU
rnacentral:rRNA from 1 species